GACGAACGCUGGCGGCGUGCUUUAGGCAUGCAAGUCGAACGCGAAAGCCCCUUCGGGGGUGAGUAGAGUGGCGAACGGGUGAGUAACACGUGGGUAACCUGCCCCUCGCAGGGGGAUAACCGGGGGAAACCCCGGCUAAUACCCCGUACGCUUGCUGGGGCGCAUGCUCCGGCAAGGAAAGGUAGCUUCGGCCAUCCGGCGAGGGAGGGGCCCGCGGCCCAUUAGCUAGUUGGUGGGGUAACGGCCCACCAAGGCGACGAUGGGUAGCUGGCCUGAGAGGGUGGUCAGCCACACUGGGACUGAGACACGGCCCAGACUCCUACGGGAGGCAGCAGCCAGGAAUCUUGCGCAAUGGGCGAAAGCCUGACGCAGCAACGCCGCGUGGGCGAUGAAGGCCUUCGGGCCGUAAAGCCCUGUUGUCGGGGACGAAGGGCGAAGGGUUAAUAGCCCCUAGCCUGACGGUACCCGACGAGGAAGCCCCGGCUAACUACGUG
rnacentral:rRNA from 1 species